rnacentral:tRNA from 1 species
GUCAGCGUGGCCGAGUGGUCUAAGGCGUGUGACUUGAAUUAUCCAACUCGUUGCGAAUUCUUCUUGUGAGGACGGACCAGCGUUUUGCAAAACUUCAAUGGCCAUCACAUCUCUUCGGAGGCACAGGUUCGAACCCUGUCGCUGACG